UACAGAGGGUGCGAGCGUUAAUCGGAAUUACUGGGCGUAAAGCGCGCGUAGGCGGCUUUGCAAGUCGGGUGUGAAAUCCCCAGGCUUAACCUGGGAACUGCAUUCGAGACUGCAUUGCUAGAGUUCGGGAGAGGGAAGCGGAAUUCCGGGUGUAGCGGUGAAAUGCGUAGAUAUCCGGAGGAACACCGGUGGCGAAGGCGGCUUCCUGGACCGACACUGACGCUGAGGCGCGAAAGCUAGGGGAGCAAACGGG
rnacentral:rRNA from 1 species